UACGUAGGUGGCAAGCGUUGUUCGGAUUUAUUGGGUUUAAAGGGUGCGUAGGCGGCUCUGUAAGUCAGUGCUGAAAUAUCCCAGCUUAACUGGGAGGGUGGCAUUGAUACUGCGGGGCUAGAGUACAGAUGAGGUAGGCGGAAUUGACGGUGUAGCGGUGAAAUGCUUAGAUAUCGUCAAGAACACCUAUAGCGAAGGCAGCUUACUAGGCUGUAACUGACGCUGAGGCACGAAAGUGUGGGGAGCAAACAGG
rnacentral:rRNA from 1 species